rnacentral:lncRNA from 1 species
AUGGCUCAGCAGCCGCGGGGAGGGGGGUGCAGCUGCUAGGGAGUGAGGAGUGAGGAUGCCCCUCCCCUCCCCUUCCCGCCGCGUCCCUCCUCCUCUCCCCCGCUUUUUUCCCCUCUUUCCCUCCCCUCAAGGAAUGGCGCUCCCUCUACCUGUUCCUCAGGCCCCCUCCUCCCUUCUCUUUCGUCCACUGGGAGGGGAAACUGGGGUGUGGUGGUAACGGGAACUGAAGGGAUGAUGGGGUCUGAGGGUACACAUGGGCCGAGGAGUCGAGUUUGAGGGGUGUGGAUGGGGGCCGACAGGGAGAGCAGAGGAGACUGAACAGGGAGAGAGGAUUCCGAGCUGAGGAACGAAGGGGAAACUGAGAGGGCAAAAGGAUGACAGAAAGAAAGGAAGGUUGAGGAGAGAAGGAAGGCAGGGGAAGAGAGAGAGGGUUAAGGAGCUAAAUGGGGGGUUGGGUAAUUUGUCCAAGAUCCGAGAAGAAAGAAGGAGAGAUGAAGAGAAAGGACACAUUUGAGGGGCCACACGGGCUGAAGCAGGGAAAUCGGGCAUCGAGAGAGGGACUUUUCAAAUCUCACUAUCCAGACUGAAUAAGAGACGGAAAUUUCCUUUUCACACAAUGGCUCUGAAAAGGAAAAGCAUUAGAGAAGCAAAGACAGAGAAAGGCGCAAUAGGGAGGUGAGAGAGAGGGAGAAGCAGGAAAGGACAACUGGAAGGUAAUAGCAAA